UAUAGGAGCCUGCUUGUUUGUGUGCGCAAGCGUAGGAAAAGAAAAGAAAAGAAAAGAAAAGAAAAGAAAAGAAAAGAAAAGAAAAGAAAGUGUAAACCUGUGUGGUUUUGGUUUGUUUGAAUGUUUUGUGUCACAGGUAAACAGCUUAGUUUUCCUGUUUUAUAGAUAACACCAGAGAGAUAUCCAGUAAGGUUAUUUUAACAUUCCGAGAUGGCAACCUACAGUACAAAACUGGACCAUGGAAAAACAUGUUAUUGAAUGCUGAUGAAAAAAAGCAGCUAGGAAUGUCCCUGAAUGAACAAAUUACAAGUCCUUACAUGUUCUCUGACUAAUAAAAAAUGGAGGGACCAGUCUAUUUGCUGCUCUGUAUUUCACAUUGGAAUGCCAGGUUUAGGCGCCCUGCUGGUUCACAAUGAUAGUUCCGGUAUCCUGGAGGUAGAACAGCAGCUGCUUACCUGGUUGGAGAAAACUUAUUGUCCCAGAAACGUCCAUAUUGAGCAGUUUGAUAGAAUGCCAGACAUCUUGACACAAGUUCACUUGUUCCCAUUUCAAGCUCAGCAAUGGCCGACUUUACUUUGUCAAUCAGCAUGGAUUUGAAAAAUCAAUAAAUGAACUCUUAAGAAAUAUAAAGUUGUGAUUUUAUUGACACAUUUAACCUAAACAUGAAAAAAUAAAAUCACUUUAUGAGUGUUUGUUUUUUUCUCCCUUUUAUGAACUUUGACAAAAAAAAAUAAAAUAAAAAAUUAACAGGUGCUGUUAUCUGAAAGCGAAAUGUAAUUUUGUGAUGUGUUAUGACAUGUAUUUUCAUUGUAACUGUCAAUUAAAAGAAAUAUACCUCAUGUUACGGGCAUUGUACCCACUUUUUUGGGGUGGGACGGUUAGGAGGUUGGUAGUUUACCAUAAAAUCCAAUUUAGCAAAAAUCACAUUUUCCUGCUGUUUGUGUAAAAUAUUAUUUUUGAUAUUUUGACAUUCUGACUUCAUUGCCCUGAAUCUAUUGUCUCUUUGCAUUCUGGCUUGCACAGAUAUAGCAUAUUUGUUGGGAUUGGUCAACAUAAUCAUAUAGCUAGGUUUGCAAAAUCUGAUCC